GCCUUUGUAGCUCAGCUGGCAGAGCGCGGCACUCGUAAUGCCGAGGUCCAUGGUUCAAUUCCGUGCGGAGGCA